CGCACGUUGGUUAAGUGAGUGACAGGUUAGGCAGGAGAUCAGGAACGCAAUAGAGAAUAUUCAACAACAAUCAAUCCAUCAUUAAAGGUCUUCGUUUCUCCACUCUCUGCCUUUCUCAUCACUUAUCCAAAGGUCGCCUUCUCUCUUUCUCUCUCUCUCACGCCUUCAGAUUCCUCUGCCUUUUCAUUUCUCACUGUAAGUUCUUCUUCCUCUCAGCUUCAAUCCCCAUUAUAAAAAUCGUAUCUUUUUUUUUUUAAUUAAUCGCGAGCUAAAAGCUGUAAUUUUGAAAAUCGAUCCCGUUUAGCGUCUUGUUUCUAGGUUCCAUUUUCAGCUAAUCAAACUGGAAAAUGCGAACGGAUUUCGGAUCCUGGUGGUGGUUUCAGAUACAGAUUUGUUUUCUGAUUUUUUGUUGAUUUGUUUCACUUUUUUGUUUUUUUUUUCACGGAUACUAGAUCGAGGAUUUUUGGCUUUUAAGUGUUUACAGCUUUCUGAAUGACUUGAAAGAUUGGUUCCUGAGAAAAAGGGGAAGAUUGAAGAUUGUACGACUUGUUUACCAGUUGGAUAUUUUUUUCAAAAGAUCUCUAGUUGAAAAAAAAAAAAAAAGCAAAAGCUGGAGAUAAUUGAGCUGAGGCAAGUAGCUUGUUGUGGGCUAUCUUAGUCUUGACUGAAAGAGAGUGUAGAAUUUAAUGAAUUUCUUCAUGCAUAUAAAUGAGUCAAGGGAGUGUUGUAAAAGAUGUGGGAAUCAAGUGCAUAGUGUGUUCAGGCCUCAGGAUUGUGAAGACAGUGAAUAUAUGGUGAUUAUUAGGUUAUCUGGUAAAUUCCAGCUAGGACAGUGGGAUGUAGGUUUUGAGAAGCUUGUGUUCCAUGUUUAGAGUUUUUUAAAUGAUAGAUAUAGGCCUCUCGCAUAUUUUGUUUCAUCAGAAACUUCAAGUUCUGUUUUAAUUAACACUUUUAAUUUUACUGAAAAGAUUGUACUUUUACUAACUUCCUUGCAUAACUGUAUUAGCAUGUCUCUGUGUGUGAAGAUUAAAAAACAAUGUCACAUCUCAAAGAAUAAAAUAAUAAUGAAAUAUGGUCGAUCAUAUGUGAUACUUUUGUUAUUGUUGAAUAUUUAGGCAACCAUGAGUGACAAGGGAGACAAGUUAUGCCCAUUGUGUACUGAGGAGAUGGAUUUGACAGAUCAGCAAUUGAAACCAUGCAAAUGUGGUUAUGAGAUUUGUGUUUGGUGCUGGAAUCACAUCAUGGAAUUGGCUCAAAAGGAUAAUACUGAGGGUCGUUGUCCGGCAUGCCGCACAUCCUAUGACAAGGAGAGAAUUGUGGAGAUGGCGGCAAACUGUGAAAGACUGGUGGCUGAAAUAAAUUCUGAGCGAAAACUAAAAUCACAGAAGGCGAAGCCAAAAGUAUCUGAUGGAAGGAUGCAUCUUAGCAAUGUCAGAGUUAUUCAACGGAAUCUAGUGUACAUAAUUGGAUUACCACUCAACCUUGCAGAUGAAGCUGUUCUUCAGCAAAGAGAGUACUUUGGCCAAUAUGGAAAGGUUCUGAAGGUGUCUAUUUCUAAAACAGCAACUGGGGUUAUUCAACAUUCUUCAAACAACAGUUGUUGUGUGUAUAUAACAUAUUCAAAAGAGGAGGAAGCUGUUCGAUGUAUUCAGUCAGUACACAGUUUUGUCUUAGAAGGUAGAACCUUAAGGGCAUGUUUUGGAACCACCAAGUACUGCCAUGCAUGGCUUAAAAACAUGGUAUGUAUGCACGUGCUUCCCCCCUUUUUCUCUCCUAAUGCGCAAAAUAAUCAUAAUGAGAGUUCUACGAAAGAUUAGAAAUUGCUGAAGAAAGAACAAGAUGAAAUAUUUUUUAGGCAAUUAGAAAAUAAAGAAAGAUUAAGGCUUCUAAUGUUUCAUGGAAAAUAACUUUUAUAUGAAAAUUAGUUGUUGAGAAAAUUAAUAAGUUUCCACUGGUUUUAACAUUGAAAAUAAUGUGGAAAAUUACAUUUUGGCAGUUGGAUUACAUGAGAAAUAGUUUUAUUUAAUGAAGACAACCAUGAAGAUGUUCCUUUUGUAGUUGAAUAGGCAAAAUUACAUAAGAAAGGUAAUUUGUAGUGUUUGUGGGACUCAUGGCCAAUGGGCUAUGUCUAAUUGGCUACUUGAGAUUAUUGAUGUUGGUUGGUGGUCUUGUAUAUGUAAUGUACAUUGUCCACUUCUAGAUUUCUUCCCCUUUUAUGAGUCUUGUGGCAGUCUGGACUUUACAUUUUAAAAAUAGGUUAUUGUAAAAUGACUUAAUUUUCCUGUUGUCCCAUUGACCAAUUUUCCUAUGGCCUCCAAACAUCGGAUCGGAAAGUGUGUAAAAUAUUUUCUGCAAACAAAACAGAACCUUAAUAUAUUCACAAUUAUUCUUUGUAAGUUUGCAAAGCAAGCGAAGCAAGAACUGAGCUAUCCUAGAUAUUGGUAUGAUUAGUGCUUCUGUUGGUCCAGCCUUGCAGCAUUCCAGAUUGUUUGUAUUUGCAUGAAUUUGGCACUCAGGAAGAUAGUUUUACGAAAGAUGAUUUAGUUUCUGCAUUUACAAGGAGUAAAGUUCAGCAAAUUGUUGGCGCUACAAUUAAUUUGCAUCGGCGUUCAGGAAAUGUCUUACCACCCCCUGUGGAUGAGUAUACUGAUAGAAACAUAUCAUCAACAGUCAAACUCGACUCCAAAAGUUCUUUAAAUCGGAAUAUUGGAAAUUGUGAUAGUGGAUCUUGUGCCGAUAGUGAUACUCCUGCACUGGCCUCAUGGUAUAAGAUUUGGUGUUUUAUAGCAUGAGAAUUGCAUCUUUUGUGGUAUUUGGCAUCCUAAAUUUUUUCUCAUGUGUCUUAAUUUUCUUGUUAGGGUCAUGUGUGUCUCUUCUGGUGUACCAUUAGUUACAAAUUUGUCAGGUUCAGAUUCAGAUGGAACUCUGAGUCAUAAGCCUGAAACAUCAAGUGGAACACAAGUUUUUGCACCUGAAGUUGUGAGCACCAAAAUACCCAGUGAUGCUAAAAGAACAAUGAUACCUGAAGAAAGUUGUGAACUGCAUCCUAUCCUUGUGACAUCUAGCAAUAUUGCUAUACCACCUGCUGGUGCAAGCUCUUUAGGAGCAGCCAAACCAUCAUGUACUCUGCAUGAAGAUGAAAAUUUUCAUGAACAUGGAGACUUUCAGGGAUUAUGCUCUGCAUUAUCGUCAAUUAGAAUUGAUAGCCAUCUUAAGAAUGAGAACUCUAAUCCUGUCAUUUCAGAAAGUUUAAUUUAUAAUCAUAACCUGCACACAAGUGAAGGCUCACAACAAGAUGUGAACCUACUUAUGAAAUCUUCUGCCUUACCAGCACUAAGGGAAAACUCAAUUGUCAAGGAUUUAUUAGGUGAUCAGCAGCUUGAAGGUUCUAGAGACAUCCAUAAUCUACCAUCCAUGUUUUGUCUACUUUCUUCAGAACAGAAUUUUAAAGAGCCAAAUCAUCAUUCUUGGAAGCAGGGUGAGAUUAGUCAUCAGAGUUCUUUUGAUGCCUAUCCAAGCACUGUACCCAUUAAAUGUGAAGCUGAUGCCUUUCCAUUGCGACCUGCCCAGCCAGUGCUAACCAGUGGAUUCUUUGACAACCAACCUAGUAGUGGCCUGCAAAUGGAUGGGACUUCUAAUUAUUCUAAUGUCUUGACUGACAAGGGAUUAGGGAAGUACUUGGAAGGAUGUGAUGAUACUGAAGGUAGUGCUAACAAUGAAGUUGCUCCAGAUAGAGGGGAAAACAACAUUAUCUCAAGUAUUCUAUCUAUGGAUUUUGAUGCAUGGGAAAAUACAUUGACAUCACCUCAGAGUUUAGUUAAGUUGCUGGCUGAAACUGAUGGACAGUAUAGUUCCCUGAGAAUACCAAGUUUAAGAAAAAUACAAGAUAGCAAUCAGUCAAGGUUCUCAUUUGCCAGACAGGAUGAUUUCUUUAACCAAGAGUCUAAUUUGAGGCAUUCAGUUCCUGAUGCUAUCAAUUGUUCUACUUUACGUCAUUCUUAUGAGAACAAAGACUUUUGCAUGGACAGACGUUAUGAUAUUUCUUCAAAUGGUAGUUCUGAGGAUUCCAAUAGUUUUCUCAGGGGCCAUCCUUUUUCGGCUUCUAAAUUUUCUUGUGAGCUAUUUUUGAAUUUGACAUUUGUUCUGUCAUUUCUCUUUCUUAUGACAUGGUUUUCUUUUUCACAUUGGUGGACAUAUUGUGAUUUUGUUAUUGUGGUGAGGUUUUUGUCUGGAUUUCAGUUAGUUUUGGGAACAUUCUAGUUUUUCUUAGCAAGAGGGGAAAAGGGAAUAAAAAAUUUAUAGGAUUUCCUCAGAUCCCAAUUCUUUUUUAAUUCUAUUAAUCUUUGAAACUUACUUGCUGUAAUGCAUUGUUGCAGUUGCUAAAGCUCCAAUGUCUACACCGCCAGGAUUUUCACUUCCAAGCAGAGCAGUACCACCAGGGUUUCCUACUAAUGGGGCAGUGAACUAUGAUGCAAACCAUUUGCUACAAAAUUCUGCACCAUUAUCUAGGAAUGCUGGCAUCUCCAUUGAUGUUGAAUUCAUGGAUCCUGCAAUAAUGGAAGCUGGUAACGGGAUACAGGCAUUGUGGCUGAAUGAUCCAGGCUUUGACAUGAGGCCACCUUUAUCACCACCUCUAGGUACUUUUAAUCAUGAUACUGAGCUUCCGAUGGUGAUGCAGCAACCUAUAUCUGUUAAACAGAACCCUUGGUUCCUGGAUCACUUCAGGAAUAGAUUCUCUCCCCCAGAUGAUGCUUACAAUAUUUCAUCAAUGCUUCUGGGGCAAUCCCCACCCAACAAUCCAUCUCCAUUUGCACAAUUGACAGCUCAACAGGUUGGGAAUUUGCACGUGUCCCAUGGCUGUUGGGGUGGUUGGGACGAAAUCAAGAGUGUUGGUAAUCUAGGUAUGUCUGAAUUGUUAAUGAAUGGAAAGCUGGGAUUCAACAAAGUUAUUCAGAGUCAUGAGGAUUUGAAGUAUCAGAUGUCUGGUUCUAGCAAUCUAUACAACGGAGGAUUUGCAUUGUAAUUUUUGUUGAAAUUGGAAUUAUUCCUCCUUGAUCCUUGAAUAGACCAAAGAAUGUGGCUGGAAGACUUGGGUGUGAGCUGCUGCCCUUGAUUUGAAUGAGGUUGAGUCUCUUGACUUUUGUGCACAUUGGUUUGUUUGCAAACACCAGAGUUGAAGGUGGGUCCAAGGGAUUGGUUAGCGUAGAGUGGCAGGUCAAAGGAUUACAUGGUUGUUUCUCUCACACCGAGUGGCAGGCUCAAAGGAUUGACACGGUUGUUCCUCUCACCCUUCCAUGGUAAGCUGGAGCGAGAAUUUUGUUAUAGGCAAAGGGUGUCCUAGCCACUGGUUGAACGGAGAAUAGAAAAUUAGAGAUCUAGAGUUCAAUGCUGGACAAAUUGGCUACGUCAAACCCUUGUUAAAUGCCAAAAUUUCACCCAGAUAUAGGAACCUAUUGGUGUUUGUAGAAAAGAAAGAUUGCAUGAAUGGGUUUCUUGAGACAUGAACAUCUAGCCCAUCUAUUAGGACUUGCUUUGAUUCAAUGAUUAAGCUUUUUUAUGUUGUUUUUGCUGAUUCUUCCUACUCUGUUUUCAUGCACUUUGAUA
rnacentral:misc_RNA from 1 species